UUCGCGGCGCUUCCUCGCGUGUUUUUCGGCGUGUAAAAAUGUCCUGUUUUGCUGCGUGGGGCUGCUCCACUAAUAAGAAUUGUGGAAAUAUUUGGAAAUGCGACCCGGAAAAAAGAGAAGGAAGUGAAGGUCCGCCGUCAAACACCGGACAGCCACCAAUUACAGCGACUUGUGCCAGAUUGUCUCGUACCAUGGGAGGAGUGACCGCUACCGAGUUGUGUUGCCACCUGACAGGCGAAUAACCAGUGAUGGGCAGUAACAAGCUACAUGUCGCUAAGGUGGCAGCCUAGUUGCUUCGUGGAUGUCGGGAACAUGGUUUGUCGUGAUCACAACAUGCAGAUGACAGCAGGAGGCAGCGUGCAGGUAAAAA